GAUGAACGCUGGCGGCGUGCCUAAUACAUGCAAGUCGAGCGAACAGAUGAGGAGCUUGCUCCUCUGACGUUAGCGGCGGACGGGUGAGUAACACGUGGAUAACCUACCUAUAAGACUGGGAUAACUUCGGGAAACCGGAGCUAAUACCGGAUAAUAUAUCGAACCGCAUGGUUCAAUAGUGAAAGACGGUUUUGCUGUCACUUAUAGAUGGAUCCGCGCCGCAUUAGCUAGUUGGUAAGGUAACGGCUUACCAAGGCAACGAUGCGUAGCCGACCUGAGAGGGUGAUCGGCCACACUGGAACUGAGACACGGUCCAGACUCCUACGGGAGGCAGCAGUAGGGAAUCUUCCGCAACGGGCGAAAGCCUGACGGAGCAACGCCGCGUGAGUGAUGAAGGUCCUCGGAUCGUAAAACUCUGUUAUUAGGGAAGAACAAAUGUGUAAGUAACUAUGCACGUCUUGACGGUACCUAAUCAGAAAGCCACGGCUAACUACGUG
rnacentral:rRNA from 1 species